GGAUGUGAGGGUGAUCUGGCUGCAACGUCUGUCACCCCCUUGAUUACCAGGGUUGAUUCUGCUGAUCUCUCUGGCUAGGCGGGUGUCCCCUUCCUCCCUCACUGCUCCAUGUGCGUCCCUCCUGAAGUUACGUGCUCAGUCCAAGAGGACGGCUUUUCCCGAAUAGAGACAGACCAACUGGUCUUCCAUCAAGAGUAUAUGAGUAGCUGCGCUCCUCUGCUAGAACCUCCAAACAAGCUCUCAAGGAAAUGUAAUAAAAAGUCACAUGAUACCACAAAGAAGCAGAGAAAACUACAGGAUAUGGAUAUAUUCCACAGGAAAACUAUUCAAUUUUUGU
rnacentral:snRNA from 1 species